CUCAUUGAUGAUAACAGGAAGUGCCGUCUGAUGCGAUAACUGACGAUUGCUAAAAGCUGUUCUGAGA